AGGGUUUGAUCAUGGCUCAGAACGUACGCUGGCGGCACGCCUAACACAUGCAAGUCGAACGAAGUAGCAAUACUUAGUGGCAGACGGGUGAGUAACAUGUGGGUAUCUGCCCUUUGGCCUGGAAUAACACGAGGAAACUUGUGCUAAUACCGGAUAAGUCUUUACGGAGAAAGCUUUAUGCACCAUUGGAUGAGCCCGCACUUGAUUAGUUAGUUGGUAGGGUAAUGGCCUACCAAGACUGUGAUCAAUAGCUGAUUUGAGAGGAUGAUCAGCCACAUUGGGACUGAGACACGGCCCAAACUCCUACGGGAGGCAGCAGUGGGGAAUCUUGCACAAUGGAGGAAACUCUGAUGCAGCGAUGCCGCGUGAGUGAAGAAGGCCCUUGGGUUGUAAAGCUCUUUCGUCGGGGAAGAAAAUGACUGUACCCGAAUAAGAAGGUCCGGCUAACUUCGUGCCAGCAGCCGCGGUAAUACGAAGGGACCUAGCGUAGUUCGGUAUUACUGGGCUUAAAGAGUUCGUAGGUGGUUGAAAAAGUUGAUGGUGAAAUCCCAAGGCUCAACCUUGGAACUGCCAUCAAAACUUUUUAGCUAGAGUGUGAUAGAGGAAAGUGGAAUUUCUAGUGUAGAGGUGAAAUUCGUAGAUAUUAGAAAGAACAUCAAAAGCGAAGGCAACUUUCUGGAUCAUUACUGACACUGAGGAACGAAAGCAUGGGUAGCGAAGAGGAUUAGAUACCCUCGUAGUCCAUGCCGUAAACGAUGUGUGCUAGACGUUGGAAACUUAGUUUUCAGUGUCGCAGCGAAAGCAUUAAGCACACCGCCCUGGGGAGUACGACCGCAAGGUUAAAACUCAAAGGAAUUGACGGGGGCCCGCACAAGCGGUGGAUUAUGUGGAUUAAUUCGAUGCAACGCGAAGAACCUUACCUGGCCUUGACAUGUACCGAAUUUAGCAGAGAUGCUUUAGUGCUCGUAAGAGAACGGUAACACAGGUGCUGCAUGGCUGUCGUCAGCUCGUGUCGUGAGAUGUUGGGUUAAGUCCCGCAACGAGCGCAACCCUUGCCAUUAAUUGCCAUCAUUUAGUUGGGCACUUUAAUGGGACUGCCGGUGACAAACCGGAGGAAGGUGGGGAUGACGUCAAGUCCUCAUGGCCCUUAUGGCCAGGGCUUCACACGUAAUACAAUGGACGGUACAGAGGGACGCCAACCCGCGAGGGGGAGCCAAUCCCAGAAAGCCGUUCGUAGUCCGGAUUGUUGUCUGCAACUCGACAACAUGAAGUCGGAAUCGCUAGUAAUCGCGGAUCAGAAUGUCGCGGUGAAUACGUUCCCGGGCCUUGUACACACCGCCCGUCACACCAUGGGAGUGGGUUUUACCAGAAGUAGUUAGUCUGACCGCAAGGGGGACGAUUACCACGGUAGGAUUCAUGACUGGGGUGAAGUCGUAACAAGGUAACCGUA
rnacentral:rRNA from 1 species